rnacentral:rRNA from 1 species
AGCAUAUCAAUAAGCGGAGGAAAAAGAAACUAAACAAAGGAUUUCCCCCUAGUAACUGCGAGUGAAGCGGGAAAAAGCUCAAAUUUAAAAUUCUGGCGGUUUUGCCGUCCGAGUUGUAAUCUGGAGAAGCGUUUUCCGUGUCGGACCGUGCACAAGUCUCUUGGAAUAGAGCGUCAUAGAGGGUGAGAAUCCCGUAUAUGGCACGGACAGCCGAUACUUUGUGAUACGCUCUCGAAGAGUCGAGUUGUUUGGGAAUGCAGCUCAAAAUGGGUGGUAAAUUCCAUCUAAAGCUAAAUAUUGGCGAGAGACCGAUAGCGAACAAGUACCGUGAGGGAAAGAUGAAAAGCACUUUGGAAAGAGAGUUAAACAGUACGUGAAAUUGUUGAAAGGGAAACGCUUGAAGUCAGUCGCGUCUGCCGGGAUUCAGCCUUACCUUGGUUUGGUGUACUUCCCCGGUUGGACGGGUCAACAUCGAUUUUUGACCGGCGGAUAAAGGAGAAGGGAAUGUGGCACCUCUGGGUGUGUUAUAGCCCUCUUUGUAUACGUCGGUUGGGAUCGAGGACUGCAGCAUGCCCUUGUGGCCGGGGCUUUUGCCCACGUAUCGUGCUUAGGAUGUUGACAUAAUGGCUUUAAGCGACCCGUCUUGAAACACGGACCAAGGAGUCUAACAUGCUCGCGAGUGUUAGGGUGGAAAACCCUUGCGCGUAAUGAAAGUGAAAGUUGGGACCUCCGCGAGGAGGGGCACCGACGCCCGGCCCUGAAGUUCUCUGACGGUGCUGCGGUAGAGCGCGUAUGUUGGGACCCGAAAGAUGGUGAACUAUGCCUGAAUAGGGCCUGCCUUUAAAACUCUGGUGGAGGCUCGUAGCGAUUCUGACGUGCAAAUCGAUCGUCAAAUUUGGUAAUAGGGCGAAAGACUAAUCGAAUCAU